UUCUGUCCAGACCACAGAUAAGAGGUUCUGCAAUACCUCCCUGCAGUCAGUGGAGAAGUAACCAGCCUGUUUACAGAUGACGAUCUUCUAUCGCGCACAAUGAUUUUCAUCUACAUGAUAGUGCCAGUUCUGGUUCUAGCAACAUUGGCAACAGGAAUAAUGGAAUGCAAUUUAACUCAAAGUGAUAAAGACUACAAAUGUUAUGGAGCACUUGGACAACCUCUCAUUUUUCACCUUCCUGUUCGUACAAGGAUACAUUUAAUAAAAGAAAAGGAAGCAAUUUGUAAGUCUAAAAACAAUGCAAUUUUGGACAUAAGUACCAGGUGCAAUAAAACCAGCAAAAAUGGAACAUUUAAGUUUGACAACACCACGAAGACUGACUCCGGAGUUUAUCAUCUAGAGGAAUUUGGUAAUGAUGGUAAACAAAUCACAUCAAUGAUCAACAUCAGU